rnacentral:lncRNA from 1 species
UCAAGUAUAUUAAUUCCUCCUCUACUUCCACAAGAUUGAUCCUUGGAUUAUUCCUUUCCAUCCUAGGGCUUGCAAUUUGUUACUAAAUGGAGUAAAGCUGCAUAUUGAAUGAUGCAAACUCAGACUAAAGUGAGUCUAGAAAGUGUCAGGUAUUGGUGAGUCUUAGGACAUUCGCAAUAGAGACCACUAUAAAUGAGUAGUCUCAAAUGCCACUAGGAUCGAGCCAUUCGUUUAACUUUUGUUGUUCUCAUAAUACAAAUGGCUUCAACUGGUGCUACAUUUUUUUCAAUUCAGCCCUUGCCUUUUGUCUUUUAGUCCUUAUCUUCUUCCUAUUUACACACAAGUCUAAAACUUUGCAAUAAACAUCCUAUAAAUCAGAAACUUAUAUUAAAUUGACCUAUUAUGUUGACUCUCUCUUCUUCCCCACAGUUCCCCUUUCUCCUUUCCACCAACGCAGCUAGUGACCUUCAUCUUCCCAGUCACAACGAUCUAGCAGAGGACGACGGUGGGGGUCGAGUCCGCGGCGGCCGGCGGCACACGGGGCUGCAUGGGUUGAGGUCGCAGCGGCCGGCGGCGCUCAGGUUCGAUGCUUCUUUGGACACCAUGCAUCCCCUUCCUCAUCUAGAUCUGGCUAAAUAUGGUUGUUGGCACCAACGAUUUAGGACUUCGUCAUCCCGAUGGAUAGAGUUUGGUGGAGGAGAAGAUCACACAAGUGCAAGAUAAGGCUAUGUUGUUCUUCUGGUGCGUGUCUAUGCUUGCGGAUUUUGAUGAGGUCUGACGAGAAAUUCAUAUCCUGCAGAGGAUAUGAUAGGCUUACAUAAACAACAGGGUCCCAUCCCUUCUCUCCAGAUCAACAUUUGUCCAUCGGGGAUAGAUGAGGCCAUUCGCCAUAGUGGUGCAUAAUGAAUGUCCUUAGUGAAGCGCAAAUGUUCACUUAUUAAUCUUCUCAUUCAAGAAAUGUGUAAAUGUUCAUCUUCUUUAUGGAUCCACAGACAUGUGAGGUCUGCAUGAGUCAAUGACAUGUGGACGAGGAUAACAUGUUUCUAAUUUAGUAAAAUUAUAAUGAUAGUAUUGCAAUUUUCAAAGUGAUGUAUAAUAAAGAGGCUCACGC